AGGGGCCGCUAACGGUCCCGCGCCCUCGGCGUCCGCGCCCCCGCCCGCUGACCACCGCGCCGCGGCGAUGGGGGCGACGGGGGCGGCGGAGCCGCUGCGCUCCGAGCUGUGGGUGAAGCAGCAGCGCUGCGCCGUGAGCCUGGAGCCCGCGCGGGCGCUGCUGCGCUGGUGGCGGAGCCCGGGGCCCGGAGCCGGCGCCCCCGGCGCGGAUGCCUGGUCCGUGCCGGUAGCCGAGAUCAUCGCCGUGGAAGAAACAGACGGGAAGCUCGGCGGCGGCGGUGCCGGCCGGUGGCAGAAGAUGGAGACGCCAUUCGCAUUCACAGUGCACUGUGUGAAGAGAGCCCGGCACCACCGCUGGAAGUGGGCGCAGGUGACGUUCUGCUGCCCGGAGGAGCAGCUGUGCCGCCUGUGGCUGCAGACCCUGAGGGCCAUGCUGGAGGCGCUGACGUCCAGACCGAAGCACCUGCUGGUGUUCAUCAACCCGAUCGGAGGAAAAAGGAAAGGCAAGCGGGUCUACGAGCAGAAAGUGGCGCCGCUGUUUGCGCUGGCCUCCAUCACCGCCGACGUCAUCGUGACUGAACACGCCAAUCAAGCCAAGGAGACUUUGUAUGAGAUCAACUUGGAGAGCUAUGACGGCAUCGUGUGCGUGGGCGGCGACGGCAUGUUCAGCGAGGUGCUGCACGGCCUGGUGGGGAGGACGCAGAGGAGCGCGGGCGUGGACCAGGACCACCCGAGGGCCGCGCUGGCGCCCAGCGGCCUCCGCAUCGGCAUCAUCCCCGCGGGGUCGACAGACUGCGUGUGCUACUCCACCGUGGGCACCAGUGACGCGGAGACCUCGGCCCUGCACAUCGUGGUCGGGGACUCGCUGGCCAUGGACGUGUCCUCGGUGCACCACGGCGGCACGCUGCUGCGCUACUCGGUGUCCCUGCUGGGCUACGGCUUUUACGGGGACAUCAUCAGGGACAGCGAGAAAAAGCGCUGGAUGGGGCUAGCCAGAUACGACUUCUCAGGCAUAAAGACCUUCCUCUCCCAUCACUGCUAUGAAGGGACGGUGUCCUUCCUGCCCGCACAGCACACGGUGGGGUCGCCGAGGGACGGGAAGCCCUGCCGAGCGGGGUGCUCCGUGUGCAGGCAGAGCCGGCAGCAGCUGCAGGAGGAGCAGAAGAAGGCGCUCUACGGCCUGGACAACGCCGAGGAGGUGGAAGAGUGGCAGGUCGUCUGCGGGAAGUUCCUGGCCAUCAACGUCACCAACAUGUCCUGCGCCUGUCGCCGCAGCCCCCAGGGCCUCUCGCCGGCGGCCCACCUGGGGGACGGGUCCUGCGACCUCAUCCUCAUCCGCAAGUGCUCCAGGUUCAACUUCCUGCGGUUCCUCCUCAGGCACACCAACCAGUGCGACCAGUUUGACUUCAGCUUCGUGGAGGUCUACCGCGUCAGGAAGUUCCAGUUCACGUCCAAGCACGCGGAGGACGAGGACAGCGACCUCAGGGAGCGGGGGAAGGCGCGCUUCGCGCACAUCUGCCGCGAGCACCCGUCCUGCUGCUGCGAGGCGUCCAGCAGCUCCUGGAACUGCGACGGCGAGGUGCUGCACAGCGCGGCCAUCGAGGUCAGGGUCCACUGCCAGCUGGUCCGACUCUUCGCGCGGGGGAUCGAAGAGGACCCUAAGCAGGCGCCGCGCAGCUGAGACGCCCUGACACCCCGCCCGCCUUGCGCGGGGAGUGUUGGAAGUUAUUUAAGAAAUUUACUACAGACCAAUUAUGUGGAUAUAUACAUUUACAUUUAGAAGUUUAUUUUUGAUAGUUAAAUCUUGACUUUAGAAAAAAGCACUUUUCUUGUCAACGGUUUUGUGUGCAUACUCUCAAGUUGUGUGCGCAUCUGCGGGGGGGGGGGGGCCUCGCACGGCCUCGGCACGCCCUGCCUGCGGAUCUGGGGCUUUGGCUUCUUAGAUUUCCGCGGUGUCCUCGGCGUAGUUUCAGAGAAGGCCCGUUAGGGGCUCCAUCGCAAUAAUUUCAGGGACGUUGUAAUUACACGAGUGCUUUCCGUGAAGGCCACACCGCCUGGGCAGGAGGUGGCCGCGGGGUCCCCCCGACCCGCCUGGCGAGACUGACCCGGUAGCCGUGUGGGCCCGAGCUCUGGAAGUGGCGGGUGCUCUUGGCCUGCCUCCGCCUUCCUGACGCGGCUGUUCCCACGACGACCACGCGACGCGGUCCUGCCGCAGCAACCCCACGGGAGGCCGGCCGGGCGGCCGUCGGGGUGCACGGGACGCCUGGUGUCGGGAGCUUGCGCCCGUCCGCGUCUGGGGCGGAGCGGCUGGCUGGCAGCACGGCCCGGCCCCGCUCGGCACACGGAUCGGGACUCCGGAAGCACAGUCUGUGUGGGACCCUCCGGCCGGCUUCUCUGCCAUUUUAAAACGUGCAGUGCUGGGGCGCCCUAGCGACACGUGACGCAGCUGGGCUUGGCGGGGGACGCAGACGCACGCCGGCUCUCAGCGGCGGGUCGUUCCGCCUUCCGGCGGAUCCCUGUGGCCCGGCCCUGAUGUCCGCACACCUGGUCCGCAUCUGCCCUGUCCUGUCCUGUCUGUCGUCGUGGGCGCUAUUAUAAUUUAUUGAACACUUUGUCCUUUUAAACCAGAAUAGCGUAAGUGGCAUCUUCGCUGCUUGUAUCUUGCCUCUCAACUACGGUGGAGCUUUCGUUUUUUUCGCCAAAGUGCUCGGGCUCCUCCCGAGACACAGGAUUCCUCCCGGAAAAGCCGCUCCUCCCGCUCGGCCCCAGCCCCCCGCGCCUUCCGCGCCCCGCCGCGCCCCGGCUCUGUCUGCACCUCUGCUCGUGUCUAGGACGGUUUUCUCUGAAAUGCAGGAGUCUGCAGCUGACGCCUUCAUUUGUGGAGCGAGGGGACACGGGACUGCCACGAGAGCACAGCUGCAGCCACGGCCCCGUGGCCCCAUCCGUGGACGUCACACGGCUUCCCUUAGCGGUUCCGGCGUUUGGCGGUCAGCAUGUGUCUGUGGAAUUGCCUUGCACCGGUGUUACGUUUCGAAGUGGCGCGAGACUCCUCAUUUUAUCGUCCAGCCCCGCCUCGGGCAGACAAAAAGGCAGCUUCAGCGGUGGUUUUUUUCCUAAUGGACCACGGCAUCAAAGAUAAUCAUGCAAGCAGAUGGUUUAAUAACUGAUGGUUGAAUGAGAAAUCUGGGUAAGAAGAGUAAGCAUUCCCGGCUGUUUCUAUCAGUGCUUGCUCCCGGUGGGGAAGAAACCAAAGAUGCGAGGCCGGCGGCUCUGCCUGCCUGCCCGUGCCCAGUGCCCAGCGGGCAGCGCCCUGGGACGUGCCGGGAGUAUGGGCAGGGGGUGGGGGGCUGCUGAGCCGGCCGUGGGCUUCCCUGGGCCUCUGGAGUUGUGCUAAAGUUUGAGCACAAGGUUUCCCUAGAAGAUUCUUCAAAGUCUUUACUGCCCCUGGUAAACAUCUCUCAUACACCAGCCACUCUAAGAGCCACUGCUCCGCUGUCGGUUUUGGAAAAAUGGUCCUGGCCCCAGAGCAAGCGUUUCGUGUUCAACGAGAAACCUGGCUGUCCCCCUCGGCCGGUUCCCAGAGGGCCUUGGUGGUCCUUCCCAACUGCCUGCAUUCAGGUGGCAAACCGGGGACUGCUGCUGGGGUGCCGUGUGAGCGUCUCACACCCUCCGAGAGCCCCCGGGUAUCUGCGCGCAGACGUUCCCUAGAGACAGGCUGCGGUCGCCGUGAACCCUGAUAGACCCGGCAGCCACGACGCCUGUGCUUUGGGGUUUCAAGGGGAAAACGAUCGGAAGUGGCGGCUAGACAGUGAAAGCGUGGGGUCACUUAGAAGCGAUAUUUUUAACGAGAACACACGUGCGCAACCUACGGAACACAAACGAGCAGAGGUGUGACCGCCACCUGUGCCAAGACACUGAACGUCACCCCAGAGCGUCCUGUGCCCCCGUCGCCGAAUCUGCCCGGCCUGUCCCGGGAGGCCGCGGCCCGUGGAACGUGAGUCACCCGCCUUUCCUGACGUCCGCGCCGGGCGGCACGACGCUGGGCUUCGCAGGUUCUGCUCCUGAGCCAAAAGGGGACACGCCGUGUCUCAUUCUCUGUAGCCUCUUGCACUCCACGUGUCUUGAGAAGACAUCUGCAUCACGAAAACGAGUUGUUUCCAGUUAUUUCCACUUUCUAGAUCCUCAUUAACGUCUUUCCAUCAUUUCAGAAUCUUUCCAUAAAAGUCUUUUAAUUUUGCUUAGAGUUAUUCUUAAAAACUCCGUAUGUUGAGGCUAUCCUUUAAAAAAAAAAAUUGUUUUGCAUGGAAAUGCAGUUGUUUUUUGUGUGUCAGGUUGUUUCCGGGAACUUUGCCUCCUGUCAACCUAGAAUGACGACAGAGAGGCGAGCUCGCCAAAGGCGGUCCCCCUGGGGGUGCAAGGGGACCGCAGUGGGGUGUGCGUGCCCCGGUGGGACCCGGGCACGUGCGGGGGUCAGGGCAGGGGGACACUUUCAAAGGCCAAGAGGGAGCCCCUGUAAGCCGCACGGAGGCCAAGCUCGUGGGUCACGGCGGCACGCCGGGGCGCUGGCACUGCUCACUGCUUGGCGGCGGAGGCAGGCGAGCGCGCUGUGCACGCGGCUUACCUGGAGUGCCGCACUCUCCGGAAGGUUCUCGGGAGGAGUCCCGUCGCCGGCAGGUCUGUGCGCAGGGCAGGCCUCGGAGCAGGCCCUGCUACAGCUCCGGCCUGUGUGUGGCGGCUGCCGCCUCCCGGUCCCCCCCCCCACGCCGGCGCGCUAGGGUUCGACCCAGGGGACUCCAUCCCGGUUCCAGCAACUUCCACACUCCUGUUGUCAUUCACCUGUAAAUGCGGACGGUCUCCCGUAAUCAUUAUACCAUCGACAAGGUGAUGAUGGCUGAGUAUCUUCUUUGCGAUCUUACACAUUCCAGCUGUGCCCCGCCUGUGCCAGCUGCACGCCCGGCACAAAAUCGAGUGGAAGGGCUUGUCUCCGGAGGGAGCGGCCGCCAGCUCCAGCCCCCCCCCAGGUGAGCAGGGCGGCUCCCCCUUCCUGCUGACGGGGCGCUGAGGGGCCGCCAUGGGGGGCCGGGCUGCGCGGUUCCAGGGAGUCUGGGGGAGAUGUCAGCCGCGCUGGGCAGCUCCCUCUGUCCGCGAUUCCGUCUUUGGUCCCUUCCCCUCGGCAGCCAGAGCCGCGCCGCGCCCCGGUCCCCGCACAGCCGAUGGCCCCGUGUCGGCCCCUUGGCCCGUGGGAGUCACACGGAGAACAGCGCAGACCCCACCCCUGGGCUCCUGACACUGCCCCUCUCGUUCAUUUACUAGUCGUUUGUUAAACCAAUUCACUAGACACUGUGUUUUAGAAAAAUACACAGUACGUGUGGCGAGAACAAAGAAGGUUCCAGAACAAAACCAUGAUUAAUA